GACGAACGCUGGCGGCGUGCUUUACACAUGCAAGUCGAACGGUAAGGCCCGUCGGGGUACACGAGUGGCGAACGGGUGAGUAACACGGGGGUGAUCUACCCUGCACUUCGGCAUAAGCCGGGGAAACUGGGUCUAAUACCGGGCAGAUCCACUGCCCGCAUGGGGGGUGGUGGAAGGCCUUUGCGGUGUGGGAUGGGUCGGCGGCCUAUCGGCUUGUUGGGGGGGUGAUGGCCGACCAAGGCGAAGACGGGUAGGCGGCCGGAGAGGGUGAACGGCCACCAUGGGACUGAGACACGGCCCAGACUCCUACGGGAGGCAGCAGUGGGGAAUAUUGCGCAAUGGGCGAAAGCCUGACGCAGCAACGCCGCGUGCGGGAUGAAGGCCUUCGGGUUGUAAACCGCUUUCAGCAGGGAAGAAGCGAAAGUGACGGUACCUGCAGAAGAAGCACCGGCUAACUACGUGCCAGCCGCCGCCGUAA
rnacentral:rRNA from 1 species